UACCAGCCCCCUGAGUGAUAGGGACGAUUAUUUAGCCUAAAGCGUCCGUAGCCGGCUUAGAAAGUCUUUCGUUAAAUCUAACGACUUAAUCGUUAGGCCGCGGAAGAUACUUCUAGGCUAGAGGGCGGGAGAGGUUGACGGUAUUCCCGGGGUAGGGGUGAAAUCCUAUAAUCCCGGGAGGACCACCAGUGGCGAAGGCGGUCAACUAGAACGCGCCUGACGGUGAGGGACGAAAGCUGGGGGAGCAAACCGGAUUAGACACCCGGGUAGUCCCAGCCGUAAACGAUGCGGGCUAGGUGUUGGGGUAGCUACGAGCUGCUCCAGUGCCGCAGAGAAGUUGUUAAGCCCGCCGCUUGGGAAGUACGGCCGCAAGGCUGAAACUUAAAGGAAUUGGCGGGGGAGCACCACAAGGGGUGAAGCCUGCGGUUUAAUUGGAGUCAACGCCGGAAAACUUACCAGAGCUGACAGCAGGGUGAAGGCCAGACUAAAGAUCUUGCCAGACAAGCUGAGAGGUGGCGCAUGGCCGUCGACAGUUCGUGCCGUGAGGUGUCCUGUUAAGUCAGGCAACGAACGAGACCCUCACCAAUAGUUGCCAACGGAUUCCAUUGGAAUGCUGGGCACACUAUUGGGACCGCCGUCGAUAAGGCGGAGGAAGGAGAGGGCCACGGCAGGUCAGUAUGCCCCGGAUGCCCUGGGCCACACGCGGGCUGCAAUGGUAGGUACAGAGGGUUCUGACCUCGGAAGGGGAAAGUAAUCCCUAAAACCUAUCGUAGUCGGGAUUGAGGGCUGAAACUCGCCCUCAUGAACAUGGAAUCCCUAGUAACCGCGCGUCAUCAUCGCGCAGUGAAUACGUCCCCGCUCCU
rnacentral:rRNA from 1 species